rnacentral:rRNA from 1 species
CGAACGUUGGCGGUGCGCUUUAUGCAUGCAAGUCGAGCGAGAAGCAGUUGUUCCGUAAGGUUCAGCUGUGGACAGCGGCGAACGGGUGCGUAACACGUGAGAAACCUGCCCCCCAGACCGGGAUAGCCCAGGGAAACUUGGAUUAAUACCGGAUACUCUCUUUGGACCGCAUGGUCCGUUGAGGAAAGGUCCGCUGCUGGGGGAUGGUCUCGCGGCCUAUCAGGUAGUUGGUGAGGUAACGGCUCACCAAGCCGAAGACGGGUAGCUGGUCUGAGAGGACGAUCAGCCACACUGGAACUGAGACACGGUCCAGACUCCUACGGGAGGCAGCAGCAGGGAAUAUUGCACAAUGGGCGAAAGCCUGAUGCAGCGACACCGCGUGCGGGAUGAAGGCCUUCGGGUUGUAAACCGCUUUCAGGAGGGAAGAAAAUGACGGUACCUCCAGAAGAAGGCCCGGCCAACUAC